rnacentral:misc_RNA from 1 species
ACAAUAACGGGAUCAGUUUGGUGAAGUACUGAGGUUCAGAAAGAAUGAAAGUGAGAGGUCCUUAUCAAGAAUUACAUUUUGGUCCUUGAUCAUGGAGCUUUUCCCUUGCUUUAGUUUGAGUGAAGGGAAAGGAUUUUCAAAUAUAGAGAAGAGGAAACCCACAAUUUAAUGACCAUUUUGAUAAAGGGAAAUCAAUUCAAUUUUGUUACUGACAUAAAAAUCUUGAACUGUAGGCUCAAGAUCAAGAAAGUCCUUUGGUUGAUUUUUUAUCUUUUAUAGGACAUCAUUCCAUUGCAGUCUGAUUAUUUUGAGA